GUGCUCGCUUCUGCAGCACAUAUACUAAAAUUGGAACGAUACAGAGAAGAUUAGCAUGGCCCCUGCACAAGGAUGACACACAAAUUCAUGAAGCGUUCCAUAUUUUU
rnacentral:snRNA from 1 species